UACAGAGGUCUCAACCGUUGUUCGGAUUCAUUGGGCGUAAAGGGUGCGUAGGCGGUCGCGCAAGUCGGAUGUGAAAUCUCAGGGCUCAACCCUGAAACUGCAUUCGAUACUGCGUGGCUAGAGUGCUGGAGGGGAGACUGGAAUUUACGGUGUAGCAGUGAAAUGCGUAGAUAUCGUAAGGAAGACCAGUGGCGAAGGCGAGUCUCUGGACAGUUCCUGACGCUGAGGCACGAAGGCCAGGGGAGCAAACGGG
rnacentral:rRNA from 1 species